UUCACCGGUCAAAUAAUAUUAUCAGGACACUCGCGGAAGCAUUAUCAAGCGGUUCGUAGCACACGAAAGGAAAAACACCUCCUGCAUCAGUUUAUGCGAUUAACACCGAACGAUAACGGUAAAAAGCGUCGGCGGCGAAUUUCCACUGAACGAUAACACUCAUUCGAAGAACACAACGAUGUGUCUCGCUUACUUCAUGAAACUCUCCGCGGUGAAAACUACUCGGACGUCGAGAAGAAGAAAUCUCGGUUUCUACGCUCGGCGAGCGUUAUUGAGAGCCAAUAAUAUGUUUGAGAACACGGUCGAAUGCUCAUUAUCUGUCAAGGAUCGCACGAGCAUUGAGCCACAAGGACGAGUUUUUGCACGACAAAGAAAACUUGAUGCUUCUAUAUGUGGAAGGAAAGCACGAAACGCACGACACCACCGAAGGGAAAAUAGAAAAUACUAAAUGUAAUAGAGGCGGGAGCAGGAGUGGGGAUACGAAAUUCCUAGCACGCGACGCUGGUCCCGGUGUACCGUGUGCACCGGGUUCAUGGCUGGGUGAAACGCUACUUAACAGUAAAUAGAAAUCUUGGCUGUCUGGUCGGGUUAGCAUCUUUCUUGAUCCUUGGAACGCUUCCACUUCCACGAGACGUUUUUAGUUAUGGACGAACGAAUCGCGUAUGUAUAUUGUGCUUAAACGAACAACUUUAUAUUGAUGUUUAGUGAUUUAGUGUACAAAAAUGCAGAGUUUAAAUAACUCAUUCUGUACCGAGAUCUCAUUGCGAACCAUUCGAUUUGUUUGUGAGCAGAUGGACUCACGGUGCUUCUGAAACUCUUCGCUAGAGGGCGAUGAUUUUCGAAUUUUCUUUGAUAACGUGAUUCUUGUUAUAUAUUCACUUUGCUAAAGGACGUGUUUGAUACGUGUUUUCCUCAAACAAAACACCGACAUUUAACUUAAUUGUUCACCCCACGUUGACCAACUCGAGUGGUCGAGGGUCACCAACUGAAAUGGAAAUUCACCCUUGCAACUGCAACACGAUACCACAGACGAGGCAUCAGAGUAGACCAAGCAACCAUAUGGGUUUUCGUGUCACACAUCCUAAAAUUUUAACUAAAACAGUCAGUUAGUGAACUACAGUAAUAUAUACCCAUAUUUUUGCACGAUCUUUUUUCCUCCCUAAGUUUUUGCGCAUCUAGCUCCGCGCAGUUAGUUUAGGUACAAUGUACCGGUGCUUGCGGUCUCACUUUUUCUUUGCGCAUGGCGUAUCUUCUGAAACACGCGGCGCAAUAUUCGAUUUGUAUUUGUAGCCUAGUUGGAUUCUCGACCGCAUCUAUCAACAUAUUUGCGAAUGAUGCUGAAUGAACAUUGAGAUAUAUUUCAAUCAUAUAUGUUUAUUGAGCAGGAUCAGGCCUACUUAACUAUUGCAUUACCCCGAAUGUUAGCGCGAAAAAAUGAAUAAAUGUUGGUAAUGAAUAUUGAAAACUUUAUAUAUUUUCUUGAAAGAUGUCUAUUUGAUCGAAAUAUGAUCCAUUUGCUUCGAUGCACAUUUUCUCAACGAGCUUUUAAUGUAUAAAUGCCAUUUUUAAAGAAGUUCUGGUCUUUUGCAUGAAUAAAUUUAGCUAUGAAGAUUUUAAUGCUAUUUUUUCAAACGAAAUGUAUGUGUUAUGGCUUAGUAUAAAAUAAAUGUAAAAAUACUAUAUCACA